CUGUAAGUAAGCCUUGAUCCAGAGAUAUCCGAAUGGGGGAACCCAACAGGUAAUGCCUGUUAUCCAUAACUGUUAAGGUUAUGAGAAGGAAGACGCAGUGAACUGAAACAUCUCAGUAGCUGCAGGAAGAGAAAGCAAGAGCGAUUGCCUCAGUAGCGGCGAGCGAAGAGGCAGGAGGGCAAACCAGAGUGUUUACACUCUGGGGUUGUAGGACUGCGAUAAAGCAGCCAAGGGAAUAGAAGAAGACUCUGGGAAGAGUCGCCAGAGAGAGUAAGAGCCUCGUAUUUGAAAUUCACUUGAUGCCAAGCAGGAUCCUGAGUACGGCGGGACACGAGGAAUCCCGUCGGAAUCUGGGAGGCCCAUCUCCCAACCCUAAAUACUCCCUAGUGACCGAUAGUGAACCAGUACCGUGAGGGAAAGGUGAAAAGCACCCCGGAAGGGGAGUGAAAGAGAACCUGAAACCGUGUGCUUACAAGAAGUUCGAGCCCGUUAAUGGGUGAGAGCGUGCCUUUUGUAGAAUGAACCGGCGAGUUACGUUUACGUGCGAGGUUAAGUUGAAGAGACGGAGCCGUAGGGAAACCGAGUCUGAAAAGGGCGGUUAAGUACGUAGAUGUAGACCCGAAACCAAGUGACCUACCCAUGAGCAGGUUGAAGGUGCGGUAAAACGCACUGGAGGACCGAACCAGGACACGUUGAAAAGUGUUUGGAUGACUUGUGGGUAGCGGAGAAAUUCCAAACGAACUUGGAGAUAGCUGGUUCUCUCCGAAAUAGCUUUAGGGCUAGCGUCGGUCGCGAGACUCUUGGAGGUAGAGCACUGUUUGAUUGAGGGGUCCAUCCCGGAUUACCAAUCUCAGAUAAACUCCGAAUGCCAACGAGUUAAGACCGGCAGUCAGACUGCGAGUGCUAAGAUCCGUAGUCGAAAGGGAAACAGCCCAGACCACCAGCUAAGGUCCCCAAAUAAUUGUUAAGUGGAAAAGGAUGUGGGGUUGCACAGACAACUAGGAUGUUAGCUUAGAAGCAGCUAUUCAUUCAAAGAGUGCGUAAUAGCUCACUAGUCGAGUGACCCUGCGCCGAAAAUGUACCGGGGCUGAAACAAUUUACCGAAGCUGUGGAUCCCUUAGGGGAUGGUAGGAGAGCGUUCUAUGUGCGCAGAAGGUGUACCGCAAGGAGCGCUGGAGUGCAUAGAAGUGAGAAUGCCGGUAUGAGUAGCGUAAGACAGGUGAGAAUCCUGUCCACCGUAAGACUAAGGAUUCCAGGGGAAGGCUCGUCCGCCCUGGGUUAGUCGGGACCUAAGGAGAGACCGAUAGGUGUAUCCGAUGGGCAACAGGUUGAUAUUCCUGUACUAGAGUAUUGAGUGAAGGAGGGACGCAGCAGGCUAACUAGAGCGUGCGAUUGGAAGAGCACGUCCAAGCAGUGAGGUGAGGACUGAGUCAAAUGCUUAGUUCUGCGCCACCAAGCUGUGACGGGGAGCGAAGUUUAGUAGCGAAGCUAGUGAUGUCACUCUGCCAAGAAAAGCUUCUAGCGUUAAUGAAUACUCUACCCGUACCGCA
rnacentral:rRNA from 1 species